CUAUACCUUGCCAUCGAUAUAGGACCUUACUUUUAACUUUUGCUUAAUGGAUCCACUAGCUUAACUUUCGUGAUCAUCUAAAAAGUAUGAUCCGAGAAAUCCCAUGUUUGGCUACAUGGUUCUUAUGGAGAGUUGAGUUAAUAUGAACUCGUGUCCCCAAUUCGGUGCUCAAGACUACUCCCACAAAUACUUUAGCUCAUAAGUGUUUUAAACACAUCUUUCUUUAGUUGAGAUAAUUACUCAAAACUUAGCCCGAAGGCACUUGAAAACUCUUUCUAAAUAGAACAAAUCAAAAUCAUAUUUUUAAUAUGAUCAUUGAUGACUCGGGAUAUUCAUACUGCUUAAACAUUGAUGGUAUAUCUAGAGACCAUACUGUUUAAACAUUGAUGACAUACUCGAUUUGUCAUAUCUAAUCAUAUUUU
rnacentral:lncRNA from 1 species